GAUGAACGCUAGCGGCAGGCCUAAUACAUGCAAGUCAAGGGGCCAGCAAUGGCACCGGCGCACGGGUGCGUAACACGUACACAACAUACCUUUAAGUGGGAGAUAGCAUCGGGAAACUGGUGGUAAUACCCCAUAAUAUUGCGAUGCGGCAUCACAUUGCAAUUAAAGUUUCGACGCUUAAAGAUUGGUGUGCGUCCGAUUAGCUAGUUGGCGGGGUAACGGCCCACCAAGGCUACGAUCGGUAGGGGGUGUGAGAGCAUGACCCCCCCACAUGGGUACUGAGACACGGACCCAACUCCUACGGGAGGCAGCAGUAAGGAAUAUUGGACAAUGGACGAAAGUCUGAUCCAGCCAUGCCGCGUGCAGGAUGAAGGCGCUCAGCGUUGUAAACUGCUUUUUGGAUGGGAAUAAUAACCUCGACGUGUCGGGGCUUGAAGGUACCAUCAGAAUAAGCACCGGCUAACUCCGUGCCAGCAGCCGCGGUAAAGUCGA
rnacentral:rRNA from 1 species